AUGAUGCAUGGAAUUUGUAUCUGUGUGUUGCCAUGCCGACACCGUGCACAGAUUGCUCAAGAUUCAGCAGGACUUGGCAGGGACCUUUUUGCUUCCCAGAGACUCAAUGACAGGCCUGGAGAAACUGGUGGUGAACAGAUAAAGACUUCUCUUGAGAACUGGGAUCCAUGGCCUGACUGGUAUGGCUGUAAGAGUCAACAGCAAAACUCCACUGGCUUCACUCUUGCACUGCUGAACGCAAAUAAAGGAGAUGCUGGAAGGGGGAAAGGAGUGACACCCAAGAUCAUGGACACCAUCAGCUGUCACCAGGAGGAGAGAGCCCCAGCUUUGCCCAGGACGGGAUGUCCUGGACUGUUGUGGGACUUCCUGACCUCAGCUGGUUUCCACAAAGUGUCAGCAGUCAAUGGAGUCAGUAUUUCCACAGCAGAGCAGCACCAGCUUCUCAGCAAACACAUCUGGUCCCAUGCUUGUGGCAGUGGCAAUGGUGUAUGCUUCCAGAGAAGUUGCUUUCAUCAUUUCAAAGUUUUUCAUCCAUGUAUCAUAAUAGAUGUGUCUCCAUUGCAUGGCAGAUGUUUUUCCCACUUUGUGUUGCAAUCCUAG
rnacentral:lncRNA from 1 species